rnacentral:rRNA from 1 species
AUUGGACGCUGGCGGAAUGCUUUGCACAUGCAAGUCGAACGGUAGAGGGGGCAACCCCUCGAGAGUGGCGAACGGGUGAGUAAUAUAUCGGAACGUGCCCAGUCGUGGGGGAUAACGUAGCGAAAGUUACGCUAAUACCGCAUACGCUCUAAGGAUGAAAGCGGGGGAUCGCACGACCUCGCGCGAUUGGAACGGCCGAUAACAGAUUAGGUAGUUGGUGGGGUAAAGGCAAACAAAGCCAAAGAUAUGUAGCUGGUAUGAGAGGACGACCAGCCACACUGGAACUGAGACACGGUCCAGACUCCUACGGGAGGCAGCAGUGGGGAAUUUUGGACAAUGGACGCAAGUCUGAUCCAGCCAUUCCGCGUGCAGGAUGAAGGCCCUCGGGUUGUAAACUGUUUUUGUACGGAACGAAAAGAUCUCUCUUAAUACGGGGGGCUCAUGACGGUACCGUAAGAAUAAGCACCGGCUAACUACGUGCCAGCCGCCGCCGUAA